GAAAUGCGAUAAGUAAUGUGAAUUGCAGAAUUCAGUGAAUCAUCGAAUCUUUGAACGCACAUUGCGCCCGUUAGCAUUCUAGCGGGCAUGCCUGUCCGAGCGUCAUUUCAACCCUCAGGGCUCCCUUUAGGGGGAGACCUGGCGUUGGGGAUCGGCCCGCCCAGCGCGGCGCCGUCCCCCAAAUUCAGUGGCGGUCUCGCUGCAGCCUCCCCUGCGUAGUAGUUUACACCUCGCACCGGAGCGCGGCUAGGCCACGCCGUAAAACCCCCGACUUUCUGAACGUUGACCUCGGAUCAGGUAGGACUACCCGCUGAACUUAAGC
rnacentral:misc_RNA from 1 species